UAGUCUCCCCCAACCUCUACAACUGCUGCGGUUCUAGACUUUAAAAUAUAAGAUCCUUAGCCUAGUGGGUUGCUCAAAAGUAAGCAAUAUUUUUAUUUGAAUUCCCUGCUUAGCAAGAGCUCUUUCGGGACUUCACCCUGGACAGUAAUAAAGCCAUGUAAUUUUUUUUUCUCCAUUCCUGCAGGUCAAGGAGGGAACACAGAGUGACCUAGAAAAAUCUGCAGGUUUCAUGGAAAUGAAAGAUCCACAAACAAACACAGCUGGUUUCAGCUUUGAUGCCGAUAAACAAAGCGAGGCAGAGCAGAACCGCAGAACGAAAAUCAGAAAACCAGACUGAAAAAAGACACCAGAAAAUCCUUUCCCUCUCCCUCCUCAGCCUGCAGCAACAGGAGGGAAGGCUCCAAGAAGCAUUCAGAAGGGCAGUGCCUGAGAGCAGGGCUUCCUGGAGAGGGUAAGCGAUUUCAGAUUCAGCGUGGAGUUUUACAGCACCAUAAUUGGCCAUCGCAGCAACUGUUACCACAAGCACCUUUCGGGGAAAUUGCUGCAAUCUGAAUGGCUAAAUGCAGACGCACAAUCUGAGUU